rnacentral:rRNA from 1 species
UUAACACAUGCAAGUCGAACGGUGACCUGGGGAGCUUGCUCCCUGGUGAUCAGUGGCGAACGGGUGAGUAACACGUGAGUAACCUGCCCCAGACUCUGGGAUAACUUCGGGAAACCGGAGCUAAUACCGGAUAUGACACGGAGAUGCAUGUCUACCGUGUGGAAAGUUUUUCGGUCUGGGAUGGGCUCGCGGCCUAUCAGCUUGUUGGUGAGGUAACGGCUCACCAAGGCGACGACGGGUAGCCGGCCUGAGAGGGCGACCGGCCACACUGGGACUGAGACACGGCCCAGACUCCUACGGGAGGCAGCAGUGGGGAAUAUUGCACAAUGGGCGAAAGCCUGAUGCAGCGACGCCGCGUGAGGGAUGACGGCCUUUGGGUUGUAAACCUCUUUCAGCAGGGAAGAAGCGCAAGUGACGGUACCUGCAGAAGAAGCACCGGCUAACUACGUGCCAGCAGCCGCGGUAAUACGUAGGGUGCGAGCGUUGUCCGGAAUUAUUGGGCGUAAAGAGCUUGUAGGCGGUUUGUCGCGUCUGCUGUGAAAAUCCGGGGCUCAACCCCGGACUUGCAGUGGGUACGGGCAGACUAGAGUGUGGUAGGGGAGACUGGAAUUCCUGGUGUAGCGGUGAAAUGCGCAGAUAUCAGGAGGAACACCGAUGGCGAAGGCAGGUCUCUGGGCCAUAACUGACGCUGAGAAGCGAAAGCAUGGGGAGCGAACAGGAUUAGAUACCCUGGUAGUCCAUGCCGUAAACGUUGGGAACUAGGUGUGGGUCUCAUUCCACGAGAUCCGUGCCGCAGCUAACGCAUUAAGUUCCCCGCCUGGGGAGUACGGCCGCAAGGCUAAAACUCAAAGGAAUUGAC